rnacentral:tRNA from 1 species
GUCAGUGUCGUCUAGUGGUAGGACGCGAGCUUCACACGCUCGAGAUCGAGGGUUCGAUCCCCUCCUCUGAUA